rnacentral:rRNA from 1 species
UACGUAGGGCGCAAGCGUUGUCCGGAAUUAUUGGGCGUAAAGAGCUCGUAGGCGGUCUGUCGCGUCUGCCGUGAAAACCCGAGGCUUAACCUCGGGCUGGCGGUGGAUACGGGCAGACUAGAGGUAGGUAGGGGAGAAGUGGAAUUCCCGGUGUAGCGGUGAAAUGCGCAGAUAUCGGGAGGAACACCGGUGGCGAAGGCGGUUCUCUGG